UGUGCCCAGAUGGGAUUAGCUAGUAGUGGGGUAACGGCUCACCUAGGCGACGAUCCCUAGCUGGUCUGAGAGGAUGACCAGCCACACUGGAACUGAGACACGGUCCAGACUCCUACGGGAGGCAGCAUG
rnacentral:rRNA from 1 species